rnacentral:rRNA from 1 species
AUUGAACGCUGGCGGCAUGCUUUACACAUGCAAGUCGAACGGUAACAGGCCGCAAGGUGCUGACGAGUGGCGAACGGGUGAGUAAUGCAUCGGAACGUGCCCAGUCGUGGGGGAUAACUACUCGAAAGAGUAGCUAAUACCGCAUACGAUCUAUGGAUGAAAGCGGGGGACCGUAAGGCCUCGCGCGAUUGGAGCGGCCGAUGUCAGAUUAGGUAGUUGGUGGGGUAAAGGCUCACCAAGCCAACGAUCUGUAGCCGGUCUGAGAGGACGACCAGCCACACUGGGACUGAGACACGGCCCAGACUCCUACGGGAGGCAGCAGUGGGGAAUUUUGGACAAUGGGCGCAAGCCUGAUCCAGCAAUGCCGCGUGCAGGAAGAAGGCCUUCGGGUUGUAAACUGCUUUUGUACGGAACGAAACGGCUCUGGUUAAUACCCGGGGCUAAUGACGGUACCGUAAGAAUAAGCACCGGCUAACUACGUG